GAACUAAUGAUACAUUCAUAAGCAUGGUAUGAAACUUUGUGUCUUCCUUAAUCUCUGUCACUCCCUGCUGUCAACCCUACCAACACACCAAGUUUGAACAGCCCUUUUGUGAAAAAUAUCUGUCUAUUCUAUAUGCGAGAGGUCCUUGUUGUUGUUAAGGACCUGACAUUUUAAAAUGAAAUAAGGACCUUUCAGAAGGAUUCACUCAAGCUGAUUAACCAUCAAGGAAACAUUGUGUCUUCCUUGAUCUCUGCAGCUCCCUU